rnacentral:rRNA from 1 species
CGCACAAGCGGUGGAGCAUGUGGUUUAAUUUGAAAAUACGCGUAGAACCUUACCCACUCUUGACAUCUUCUGCAAAGCUAUAGAGAUAUAGUGGAGGUUAACAGAAUGACAGAUGGUGCAUGGUUGUCGUCAGCUCGUGUCGUGAGAUGUUAGGUUAAGUCCUGCAACGAGCGCAACCCUUUUCUUUAGUUACUAAUAUUAAGUUAAGGACUCUAGAGAUACUGCCUGGGUAACCAGGAGGAAGGUGGGGACGACGUCAAAUCAUCAUGCCUCUUACGAGUGGGGCAACACACGUGCUACAAUGGUCGGUACAAAGAGAAGCAAUAUGGUGACAUGGAGCAAAUCUCAAAAAACCGAUCUCAGUUCGGAUUGAAGUCUGCAACUCGACUUCAUGAAGUCGGAAUCGCUAGUAAUCGUAGAUCAGCUACGCUACGGUGAAUACGUUCUCGGGUUUUGU